rnacentral:rRNA from 1 species
GAUGAACGCUGGCGGCGUGCUUAACACAUGCAAGUCGAACGAACCUUCGGGUUAGUGGCGGACGGGUGAGUAACGCGUGAGAAUCUGCCCUCAGGAGGGGGAUAACGGUUGGAAACGGCCGCUAAUACCCCAUAUGCCGCGAGGUGAAAUGAAUUUCGCCUGAGGGUGAGCUCGCGUCUGAUUAGCUAGUUGGUGUAGGUAAUGGCUCACCAAGGCAUCGAUCAGUAGCUGGUCUGAGAGGAUGAUCAGCCACACUGGGACUGAGACACGGCCCAGACUCCUACGGGAGGCAGCAGUGGGGAAUUUUCCGCAAUGGGCGAAAGCCUGACGGAGCAACGCCGCGUGAGGGAUGAAGGCCUCUGGGCUGUAAACCUCUUUUAUCAAGGAAGAAGAUCUGACGGUACUUGAUGAAUAAGCCAC